AAUAAUAAUUGGGAAAAAAAAAUCGACCGAGAGAGAGAGAGUAGGAGACGAGAGUGCUCGGCGGAAGAAAAGCGAGCAGAAAGCGAGGGCGUGGGAAAGGGGAAAGCGGUAUCCGAGGAAAGCGAAGUGAGAAAAGAGGCCGGGCUUGGGGCGGAGACUAGCAGGAGCGAUUCCGGAUCCACAUUGAUAUUCCGAUCCAAGGAAAGGUUCUUCUCAUAUUCUCACAUUGUAUGUUCAACUGGAAGAUGGAAAUGAAUUGAUUACUGGCAACUAGUGGCUAAAGGAGUCUACCUCCACUAAAUUUUAUAUGGAGUGUCUUAUUGGUAAAGCAAUUCUCCAGUUUCUUUUACUUGCCAUUUGGACUUGCUGUUUCCAAGAUGUGGUGUCACAGAAGACAGAAUUUAAGCCAAAGCCUCGAGUCCCUGACAAACUUGUGUUGUCCGAUCCACCCAUGGGACUCUUUGGUCCCAUAGAGAUUUCUCCUGCUGUUGUUCCACACAAUCCUUAUCCUGUUGAGCCAUUAUCACCUAUGUACCCAUCCUUUCCGAGCACUUAUGAACCAAAUUUGACUGGGAAAUGUCCAGUCAAUUUUUCUUCAGCAUUGGAUGUCAUAGACAAGACAGCAUCAGACUGCUCUGCACCUUUAGCAGCACUAGUAGGGAACGUUAUUUGUUGUCCCCAGGUUAAUAGUUUGAUGCAUAUUUUUCAAGGUUCUUACAGUAAUGAUCCCAACAUGCUCGUCUUCCAGCAAGCUGCAGCUAAUUAUUGUUUCACGGAUCUGAUUAGUAUAUUGGCCAGCAGAGGGGCAAAUAACACUAUUCCCACUCUUUGCUCAGUCAAGUCCUCAAAUCUUACUGGCGGUUCAUGUCCUGUUAAGGAUCUUGCAACUUUUGAGAAAAUAGUAAAUACAAGCAAAUUACUUGACUCAUGUAGAACAGUCGAUUCUCUUAAAGAGUGUUGUAGGCCAGUAUGCCAACCUGCAAUCAUGGAAGCUGCACUUCAGACUUCACAAAGAGGAGCCAGCAUGCUUGAUAGUUCUAGAAUACCUGGGAUUGCUGGUGGCUUUAAUGUGGUCAAUGACUGUAAAGGAGUGGUAUAUGCUUGGCUAUCUCGAAAGCUCUCAACAGAGGAUGCCAACACUGCAUUCCGUAUUUUAUCUGGCUGCAAAGUUAAUAAAGUUUGUCCUUUGGAAUUUGAAGAGCCUUCAGCAAUAGUCAAUGCUUGUCAUGGUUCGGCUCCCACUCUUUCAUGUUGCAGUUCCUUGAACACGUAUAUUGGAUCAAUUCAGAAGCAGAUGCUCAUAACAAAUAGGCAAGCCAUCAAUUGUGCUACAUUGUUUGGAUCAAUGUUACAGAAAGGUGGGGUUACAGCAAAUAUCUAUGAGCUUUGCAAAAUUGAUCUGAAAGACUUUAGCCUUCAGUCAUACAGUCAACAAGGGUGUUUGCUGCGCAGCUUCCCAGCAGAUAUUGUGUUCGACAAUGUUACAGGCUUCAGUUUUACAUGUGAUUUAAGUGACAAUAUAGCUGCUCCAUGGCCUUCCUCAUCAUCUCUUUCAUCCUUAUCCCUUUGUGCACCUGUGUGAAUAGAACAUGAUUCGAGGCAAUGGAGCCAAACUAAUUCAGAGCAAACACACAGCCAAGUAGAGAGGAAGUACUGCAACAGGGAACAACUUGAUUUUCUGGUCAUGAUACAACAUGUGGCAAGACAUCAUCAGGGGGCUUGUCCCCUGGAGCUAUAAAAGGAGGAUUUAAACCAGUUAUUGUAUCUGGAGUUGCAUGCCAGGCAAUCAAAUUUUCUCCAACUUGGACAUUGUUGCCUCUCCUUGUUCAUCUUUCCAAACUUUUAUCCACUUUGACCCACCAACCUCAAAAACAUAGUCUUAAGAGAUGUCAUUGCCUGCACUGCCAGUACCACAAACUUCUGUAAACUCAGGUAGCUACGAAAUUGCAAGAACCUUAGUCACUGUUGGGUACAUCAUUGCCAGCUUAGUGCUAUGAUCAUGGUCUUCCAAAUCUAAAUCAAGGUUGAUCUAGAUGUCUGGAAACCACUCAGAUCAGGUGAGUCGGUAUCCAUGUUUCGCAACUCAUUUUGGAGGAAACGAUUUGACUUGUGCGUUGGAGUGAUGCAUUCUGGAGCAGUAGGUCUCGGCGGUAAGAAAACAAUGUAGGAGAGAUCUACGGCUGGGAACUCCGGGAGUGGCACACCACCCUACGAAGCCAUACCAAUUCGCCAUGUGAAUAGUGGAUGCAAUAUUUGUAUUUCAAUUGGGUUUUGUUCUCUUCUUUUUCUUCGCUUCAUGUCUUUUUCUGGUGUAUGUGACGACGGGCAUGGUUAAGCUUGUCGAGGUGUUGGUGAUUGGUGGUCGCUUGGCAUGACUCCAAGUUUUGUACUUCUGGACUUCGAUUCAAUCUGAUGAGCCUUCCAUGUUGGCAAUUUGCGCAAAA